rnacentral:rRNA from 1 species
UAGGGAAUCUUCCGCAAUGGGCGAAAGCCUGACGGAGCAACGCCGCGUGAGUGAUGAAGGUCUUCGGAUCGUAAAACUCUGUUAUUAGGGAAGAACAAAUGUGUAAGUAACUAUGCACAUCUUGACGGUACCGGAAUAGAAAGCCACGGCUAACUACGUGCCAGCAGCCGCGGUAAUACGUAGGUGGCAAGCGUUGUCCGGAAUUAUUGGGCGUAAAGCGCGCGCAGGCGGACUAGCCAGUCAGUCUUAAAAGUUCGGGGCUUAACCCCGUGAUGGGAUUGAAACUACUAGUCUAGAGUAUCGGAGAGGAAAGUGGAAUUCCUAGUGUAGCGGUGAAAUGCGUAGAUAUUAGGAAGAACACCAGUGGCGAAGGCGACUUUCUGGACGAACACUGACGCUGAGGCGCGAAAGCCAGGGGAGCGAACGGG